rnacentral:misc_RNA from 1 species
ACGAGUUUUUAAUUGUUAGGUUAGAGUUGAGCUGGUUAAUCUAAUUAAUUAUGUGCUUACUCUAAUCGAAGCAACGUCAGCUCAUACUUACACUUGUGAACUUAUUCAUUACAAACAUUAUUAUUUGUUAUUGGAACGUUUGAUUAUUAAAAGUUAAGUCA